rnacentral:rRNA from 1 species
GAUCCUGCUCAGGAUGAACGCUAGCUACAGGCUUAACACAUGCAAGUCGAGGGGCAGCAUGAACUUAGCUUGCUAAGUUUGAUGGCGACCGGCGCACGGGUGAGUAACACGUAUCCAACCUUCCGUUUACUCAGGGAUAGCCUUUCGAAAGAAAGAUUAAUACCUGAUAGUAUGGUGAGAUUGCAUGAUAGCACCAUUAAAGAUUUAUUGGUAAACGAUGGGGAUGCGUUCCA